UACGUAGGGUGCGAGCGUUGUCCGGAAUUAUUGGGCGUAAAGGGCUCGUAGGCGGUUUGUCGCGUCGGGAGGGAAAACCCAGGGCUUAACCCUGGGCUGGCUUUCGAUACGGGCAGACUAGAGGUAUGCAGGGGAGAACGGAAUUCCUGGUGUAGCGGUGGAAUGCGCAGAUAUCAGGAGGAACACCGGUGGCGAAGGCGGCACGCUGGGCCGGCCCUGACGCUGAGGCGCGAAAGCGUGGGGAGCGAACGGG
rnacentral:rRNA from 1 species